AUCAACUCCAAAAGUCUUCUAUGAGGACUAGUAACCCGGUGGAGAGUCUCUCUCUCCUUCCGUCUCUCACUCUCCGUCUGUCUCUCUCUCCAUAGCCGGCUUCUCGCUCCGGCGGUCUAAGAGGCUGAAGGCAACAUCGUCAGAUGCUGUGCAAGAUGGUGCUUAUGUGUGUGCAACCAACAAUGGUGGGGAUGACCAAAAUGUAGUUCAAGAUAGUACGGCCAGUGAAGAUUUUAGCUAGGAACAUGGACUUUGCAGUGGGAGUUGCAGCACAUGUUCGGUGACAACCAAUUUUAGUCUCACAAGAUCCUUUUUUUUUUCUUUACAUAACUUUUACCAAUUAAAGUAUGGUUAGCGUUUCUUGGCUUAGUAGUGACUAGGGUGCAUUUUGUAAGGAAUGCAUUAUAUCAUUCGACAAUUUUUGAUGAGUUUAUUACAGAUUUUUGUUUUGCACGCAUUGUGCACGCA